ensembl:lncRNA
UCACUGUUCUUGAAUGGAGGGAAGCAGACCCUCCCAGUUUCCAUUACUGAUGUGGACCAAGCCAUAGCCGGAAAGCCCAGGAGCCACUGGUGGGGCCGACAACCAGGCAAUGCCAUCAAAUAGCUCUAAGAGCAUCUUUGCUUUCAGCUGCCUCGGUGAAGUGGAGUUGAGUCAUAGAGAUGAGCAGAGAUGCCCAGACAGCUGGGUAGAGUGAGGACAGGGCUGAGAACGGAAUCACCAGGGGCUGGAGGGCUGAUGUCAGUUAGGAGGACACACAGGGGCAUCUCCAGGGAACAUAAGAACAUGGUCCUGCCAGAGGUCAGGGGUCAGAGCGCCCGAGAAGGUCCCUGGUCUGGAGGCCUGCUCCCUGACGGUGUACACCACCUGCCUCCAGCAGCUCUUCCAAGACUCUCAGAAUGACAGGGCAAAUGACUUGAGUAGACAGUUUGGCAAAGAAGAAAUACAGCGAACAAGCCAAUGAAAAAAUGCUCAAUAUCAUGUCACUAGGAAAAUGCAAACUAAAACCACUAUGACAUAUCCCCACUAAAGCUGGUAAAACCAGAGACUGACCGUACCAAGUAUUAGCAGGGAUGCACAGCAGCAGGGACUCGGGGUGUUGCUGCUGAGAAUGUGAGGGACAGCUUACUUGAAAACGUCUGGUGGUUCCCUCAAAGACACCCUCGCUCUACAACCUAGCAACCCUGUUCCUGGGUACUUACCAAGAGGUUUAAAUGGGACCACUUGUCCACACCGAGACUUGUCCAUGCAGGCUCAUCACAGAUCACUCAGAACAGAGAAAAACUGGUGGAUGGAUUGAGAAUGAAACGCCUCCCAGCAUCUAAUGAUUCACGCAGCAACGUGGGGGCAGCACAAGGGCAGCCGGCCAGGAGCUAACCCAACUGGGAGACCUCAGAGAGGGCGAUGCAGCCAUGAGUGUUGGGCGGCAAAGGACUUCUCUCAACCUUCUUGUUAUGGGGAUUUCUCAAUAAGCCUGCCCCAGGAGAGGACAGCUGUGACUGGACCUGGCCUGGGCUGGGCUGGGGCACCAGGAUGGGGGCAGAGGGCCUCUCUGCUGCUGGCUUUCGACCUCAGUCCGUGUCCCUGCACCUCGGGGCGGGGCUUUCUCGUGGUCCUGCCUCUCCCAGGAGUAGGCUAUCUCCUCGCGUGCCUCCUCACAGGCAGAGGGCCUCUGCUCCUCCAGCCUCACCCUCCAGCCUCGGUCUCCAUCUGUGUUUUCUGCUGCUCCCUCAGUGACUCCAGGCUUUUGUUCUUUAAAGGAGAGCUUUGAGGGCUUUGAGGAAGCUUUCUUGGCUGCCUGCCCUGCCCCGCCCCGUGAGCACGGUGCGGUCCCUGCGGAGGGCCCCGGGGGUCUCGGCACCCACGGCUCUUGCCCUCAGCUGCCCUGCUCCGUGCGUGCCUGCCGCGCUUCACUAGAAGUCUCAGCUCACCUCCUGCCCAGCUCUGCCCCAUGACCCACUCUCCUGCCCUCCUUGGAGGCCUGUCUGUCUU